rnacentral:tRNA from 1 species
GCCCCUAUAGCUCAGUUGGUAGAGCAGCUCCCUCUUAAGGAGAAUGUCGGGGGUUCAAAUCCCUCUGGGGGCACUA